rnacentral:rRNA from 1 species
GACGAACGCUGGCGGCGUACUUAACACAUGCAAGUCGAACGGUAAGGCCCUUCGGGGUACACGAGUGGCGAACGGGUGAGUAACACGUGGGUGAUCUGCCCUGCACUUCGGGAUAAGCCUGGGAAACUGGGUCUAAUACCGGAUAGGACCAUGGACUUCACGGUUUGUGGUGGAAAGCUUUUGCGGUGUGGGAUGGGCCCGCGGCCUAUCAGCUUGUUGGUGGGGUAAUGGCCUACCAAGGCGACGACGGGUAGCCGGCCUGAGAGGGUGUCCGGCCACACUGGGACUGAGAUACGGCCCAGACUCCUACGGGAGGCAGCAGUGGGGGAAUAUUGCACAAUGGGCGCAAGCCUGAUGCAGCGACGCCGCG